AGAACGAACGCUGGCGGCAGGCUUAACACAUGCAAGUCGAACGCGUGUAGCAAUACACGAGUGGCGCACGGGUGAGUAACGCGUGGAUAUCUGCCUUUUGGUUCGGAAUAACCCCGGGAAACUGGGGCUAAUACCGGAUGGUUCCUACGGGAUAAAGAUUUAUCGCCAAAAGACGAGUCCGCGUACGAUUAGCUAGUUGGUGAGGUAAUGGCUCACCAAGGCGACGAUCGUUAGCUGGUCUGAGAGGACGAUCAGCCACACUGGGACUGAGACACGGCCCAGACUCCUACGGGAGGCAGCAGUGGGGAAUAUUGGACAAUGGGGGGCAACCCUGAUCCAGCCAUGCCGCGUGAGUGAUGAAGGCCUUCGGGUUGUAAAGCUCUUUUGGCGGGGACGAUGAUGACGGUACCCGCAGAAUAAGCCCCGGCUAACUUCGUGCCAGCAGCCGC
rnacentral:rRNA from 1 species